AAAUUGAAGAGUUUGAUCAUGGCUCAGAUUGAACGCUGGCGGCAGGCCUAACACAUGCAAGUCGAACGGUAACAGGAAGCAGCUUGCUGUUUCGCUGACGAGUGGCGGACGGGUGAGUAAUGUCUGGGAAACUGCCUGAUGGAGGGGGAUAACUACUGGAAACGGUAGCUAAUACCGCAUAACGUCGCAAGACCAAAGAGGGGGACCUUCGGGCCUCUUGCCAUCGGAUG
rnacentral:rRNA from 1 species